CAACCAGUUAAAGACAAUAGUCAUGAAUUUCAUCAUCAGUUUUUAUUGACAAGAAUAAUACUUCACAAACAUAAAUGGUUAUUAUAGAUAUACUAUUACCACUAAAUAAAAUGGGAUGAGAUAAAAAAGAGUAAAGUGAAAUGAGUCAGGUAAGGUAAAGUGAAAUGAGUCAGGUACAGCAUGGAGACAACUAUAGCCUCAAUACAAUUGCCCGAAAUGUCAAGAAUUUGCAUAAGUUCUGCUAAAGCAAUACCAAAUCCAAUCACAAAAGUUCCAUUAGGGAAUAUCAAUCUAACAUGAAAUCCUUUAUUAGUAACUAUAUGUCUGUGAAAAAGAGCUAGCCCUGUUGUAUCCAUACUCCCCUUCCCCAAAUUAAAGCACACAUAAGCAUACACAUAAGCACACAUAUAAAUACAUCUAUACAAAUACAUACAUUUUGGGCAUUAAAAAUAUCAUCCCUGGCACAUUUACAUAUGUUGAAUGUGUCAUCACUGUUUCCAAAAAGUCAUCAAGACCUUUAUAAGAAAGCCUGAAGAGAGAAUACCUUUUAUUGUACAUUAUGUAAAUACGUAAACAAACUGUGUCUUCCCCUUGCUUUCUCUGCCUUUUACAGCACUUAUUCACAUGCUUGUCCAGAUAUGACAUUUCUUUCAAAUCUCCUUCCUCCUCGUGAAAUUCAAAGCUUUCUAUAUAUAACCCCAGUGGUCCCACUAUUCCAUUGAAAAUAAAGAAACUUCAUGUAAUCUAUGUUCUACCAACAAGGUUGCACUAUAAAUUUAAAUAGUUUCUCUGAUAUUUAAUUUUUCUAAACUUUGUUAUCAGAAGCACUACCUUUCCUCACUUUGGGAAAGAAAGCAGCAAUUCAAAAAUUAAACCCUUUUGUCCCACACACUCAAUUUUUAUUGUUACUUUUUGUCAUUACAUGCAUUUUUUUCACUUAUUAUAUUUCUAAACUUUCAUUUCCCUACAUUUUAACAUUGUAGCACUAUACUUUGACUACUUCUAACUUUUUUUCUUCCAAAUUAUAUAUUUCAAUCUAGUAUCUUCAUUAGUCAUUUUUUAUGGGUACAUUCAUCUUCAUUAUCUAAUUUGGAAAGUUCUUCAUAUCUGUGCCAUUUUCCAUGUCAUCAUGAUAUUUCUUGGUGCAUAUUGUCUGCCUUACUUCUUUAUUUUAUGUUAUUCAUUUUCAACUUUGUUUUGCAGAACCGACAAGAUAGUGUUGUUUCCUUUAGAGAACAUCAUUACGAACAAGCAGCAGUAUUAACAAGUCAAAAGUAAAACUUCCAUUGUUCAAAAUGUUUUGCACAAAUCACUAAAUAGCAUUAUCUUCAAAGUAUUGAACAUUUUGGUUGAUGUCACAACAUAAC
rnacentral:lncRNA from 1 species